UACGGAGGGGGCUAGCGUUAUUCGGAAUUACUGGGCGUAAAGGGCUCGUAGGUGGCCAACUAAGUCAGACGUGAAAUCCCUCGGCUCAACCGGGGAACUGCGUCUGAUACUGGAUGGCUUGAGUUUGGGAGAGGGAUGCGGAAUUCCAGGUGUAGCGGUGAAAUGCGUAGAUAUCUGGAGGAACACCGGUGGCGAAGGCGGCAUCCUGGACCAACACUGACACUGAGGAGCGAAAGCCAGGGGAGCAAACGGG
rnacentral:rRNA from 1 species